UACGGAGGGGGCGAGCGUUAUUCGGAAUUAUUGGGCGUAAAGGGCGCGUAGGCGGCUUGACAAGUCAAAGGUGAAAUCCCUCGGCUCAACUGAGGAACUGCCUUUGAAACUAUCUGGCUUGAGGGUCGGAGGGGAGACUGGAAUUCUCGGUGUAGCAGUGAAAUGCGUAGAUAUCGAGAGGAACACCAGUGGCGAAGGCGAGUCUCUGGACGACACCUGACACUGAGGCACGAAAGCUAGGGGAGCAAACAGG
rnacentral:rRNA from 1 species